rnacentral:lncRNA from 1 species
GUCAUGGUGUGUCAUCCUAGUUGGAUGUAUUUUUCCUUUCCAGAAGCUCAGCACCCUGUUGCUCGGGCUGAGAAACUUGGGUGCCAAAUGACUGUGUCCCAAACAGGAUGGUGCUCUGAGUGUCUGGCUAGAAGGGGACGCUGGGUCCCCAGAAGCUGAACUUACAUGUGGCUGUGAGUCUCUCGAUGAAAGUUCUGGGAGCGUCACUUAGAUCCUCUAGAAGAACAGAAGGUUUUCAUGACCAUUGAACACCUCCCCAGCCCCUGCCUGCUUAAAGUGGAUGCAUUUUAUUGGAUUCUUGAAAAUAUGACAUUGGACGAGAGUUAUGAAUCACAUCCUGCUUCAGCAAACCUUCGACAAGAUGAGGCAAUGUAGAAAACAGUCUUGCAAUGCGAAGGCGGGCCUAUGUGCUGCCAGUCAUUGCCGGAGACCAGGGCCGUGUGUCCUUCAGCAGCAGCUUCUGUGGUUCCAUAAGGCGGAGAAAAAGGAGACCGAUGACCACAUCUACGUGAUUCGAACUCUUGUUUUUAGAGUCCUAGAUAAAUUGAGUUAGAACAAGUGUUAUUGCAUGGACUUCAGUGAUGGCUUCUUAUGGUCCAAGGGCAGAAUCAGCUGCCUGCCUCAGUGUCUGUGUAGCCAUCAAAUCCUAAGUGUUUACUAGUCAUGUGGCC